CGGACGGGUGAGUAAUGUCUGGGAAACUGCCUGAUGGAGGGGGAUAACUACUGGAAACGGUAGCUAAUACCGCAUAACGUCGCAAGACCAAGAGGGGGACCUUCGGGCCUCUUGCCAUCGGAUGUGCCCAGAUGGGAUUAGCUAGUAGGUGGGGUAAAGGCUCACCUAGGCGACGAUCCCUAGCUGGUCUGAGAGGAUGACCAGCCACACUGGAACUGAGACACGGUCCAG
rnacentral:rRNA from 1 species